CGAACUUCUCCUCCAUCGACCUUAUCUACAGAAGCCGACACCGAGAAACUCCUUCGAAAUUUUGGGAUGCAUCUCUCCCCAAAAUACAGGUUUGAACGAUGUAGAAUUGGAGGAUUCAGCAUCGGGAAGGCCUUAAUCCUCACCCAUGGUGUCCCUGCUAUCGUAGCCAUCCGCCGCCGUCCGCAAAGCUUCGGAGGUCCGACGCCGAUGGUCGUUUCCGGCGAG
rnacentral:misc_RNA from 1 species